AGAGUUUGAUCCUGGCUCAGGAUGAACGCUGGCGGCGUGCUUAACACAUGCAAGUCGAACGAACCUUCGGGUUAGUGGCGGACGGGUGAGUAACGCGUGAGAAUCUGCCCUCAGGAGGGGGAUAACGGUUGGAAACGACCGCUAAUACCCCAUAUGCCUACUGGUGAAAUGAAUUUCGCCUGAGGAUGAGCUCGCGUCUGAUUAGCUAGUUGGUGAGGUAAUGGCUCACCAAGGCUUCGAUCAGUAGCUGGUCUGAGAGGAUGAUCAGCCACACUGGGACUGAGACACGGCCCAGACUCCUACGGGAGGCAGCAGUGGGGAAUUUUCCGCAAUGGGCGAAAGCCUGACGGAGCAACGCCGCGUGAGGGACGAAGGCCUCUGGGCUGUAAACCUCUUUUCUCAAGGAAGAAGAUAUGACGGUACUUGAGGAAUAAGCCACGGCUAAUUCCGUGCCAGCAGCCGCGGUAAUACGGGAGUGGCAAGCGUUAUCCGGAAUUAUUGGGCGUAAAGCGUCCGCAGGCGGCUUUUCAAGUCUGCUGUUAAAGCGUGGAGCUUAACUCCAUCAUGGCAGUGGAAACUGAAAGGCUUGAGUAUGGUAGGGGCAGAGGGAAUUCCCGGUGUAGCGGUGAAAUGCGUAGAUAUCGGGAAGAACACCAGUGGCGAAGGCGCUCUGCUGGGCCAUCACUGACGCUCAUGGACGAAAGCCAGGGGAGCGAAAGGGAUUAGAUACCCCUGUAGUCCUGGCCGUAAACGAUGAACACUAGGUGUCGGGGGAAUCGACCCCCUCGGUGUCGUAGCCAACGCGUUAAGUGUUCCGCCUGGGGAGUACGCACGCAAGUGUGAAACUCAAAGGAAUUGACGGGGGCCCGCACAAGCGGUGGAGUAUGUGGUUUAAUUCGAUGCAACGCGAAGAACCUUACCAGGGUUUGACAUCCUGCGAAUCUCUUGGAAACAGGAGAGUGCCUUCGGGAACGCAGUGACAGGUGGUGCAUGGCUGUCGUCAGCUCGUGUCGUGAGAUGUUGGGUUAAGUCCCGCAACGAGCGCAACCCACGUCUUUAGUUGCCAGCAUUUAGUUGGGCACUCUAGAGAGACUGCCGGUGAUAAACCGGAGGAAGGUGUGGAUGACGUCAAGUCAUCAUGCCCCUUACAUCCUGGGCUACACACGUACUACAAUGCUACGGACAAAGGGCAGCAAGUUCGCGAGGACAAGCAAAUCCCAUAAACCGUGGCUCAGUUCAGAUCGUAGGCUGCAACUCGCCUACGUGAAGGCGGAAUCGCUAGUAAUCGCAGGUCAGCAUACUGCGGUGAGUACGUUCCCGGGCCUUGUACACACCGCCCGUCACACCAUGGAAGUUGGCCACGCCCGAAGCCGUUACUCCAACCCUUGUGGAGGAGGACGUCGAAGGUGGGGCUGAUGACUGGGGUGAAGUCGUAACAAGGUAACC
rnacentral:rRNA from 1 species